rnacentral:rRNA from 1 species
CAAGACCUUGCGCUGAUUGAGCGGCCGAUAUCAGAUUAGCUAGUUGGUGAGGUAAAGGCUCACCAAGGCGACGAUCUGUAGCGGGUCUGAGAGGAUGAUCCGCCACACUGGAACUGAGACACGGUCCAGACUCCUACGGGAGGCAGCAGUGGGGAAUUUUGGACAAUGGGGGCAACCCUGAUCCAGCCAUGCCGCGUGAGUGAAGAAGGCCUUCGGGUUGUAAAGCUCUUUCGGCCGGGAAGAAAUCGUGUGGGCUAAUACCCUGCAUGGAUGACGGUACCGGAAUAAGAAGCACCGGCUAACUACGUGCCAGCAGCCGCGGUAAUACGUAGGGUGCGAGCGUUAAUCGGAAUUACUGGGCGUAAAGCGUGCGCAGGCGGUUUAGUAAGACAGGCGUGAAAUC